rnacentral:piRNA from 1 species
UGUCAGCUCUGCUACCUGUCGUGUCAGC